rnacentral:rRNA from 1 species
UACAGAGGGUGCGAGCGUUGUUCGGAAUUAUUGGGCGUAAAGCGCUGGUAGGUGGCUCGUUAAGUCGCGUGUGAAAGCUCCAGGCUCAACCUGGAAAGUGCGCGCGAAACUGGCGAGCUUGAGUGCCGGAGAGGGUCGCGGAAUUCCCAGUGUAGAGGUGAAAUUCGUAGAUAUUGGGAGGAACACCAGAGGCGAAGGCGGCGACCUGGAAGGUGACUGACACUGAGCAGCGAAAGCGUGGGGAGCAAACAGG